AGUGAACGCUGGCGGCAGGCCUAACACAUGCAAGUCGAGCGGCAGCGCGGGUAGCAAUACCUGGCGGCGAGCGGCAGACGGGUGAGGAGUACAUCGGAAUCUACCUUGUCGUGGGGGAUAACGUAGGGAAACUUACGCUAAUACCGCAUACGACCGAGAGGUGAAAGUGGGGGACCGCAAGGCCUCACGCGACUAGAUGA
rnacentral:rRNA from 1 species